rnacentral:rRNA from 1 species
GACGAACGCUGGCGGCGUGCUUAACACAUGCAAGUCGAACGGAAAGGCCUGCAGCUUGCUGCGGGUACUCGAGUGGCGAACGGGUGAGUAACACGUGGGUGAUCUGCCUUGCACUUCGGGAUAAGCUUGGGAAACUGGGUCUAAUACCGGAUAGGACAGCUGUUUAGUGUCAGUUGUGGAAAGUUUUUUCGGUGCAAGAUGAGCUCGCGGCCUAUCAGCUUGUUGGUGGGGUAAUGGCCUACCAAGGCGUCGACGGGUAGCCGGCCUGAGAGGGUGUACGGCCACAUUGGGACUGAGAUACGGCCCAGACUCCUACGGGAGGCAGCAGUGGGGAAUAUUGCACAAUGGGCGGAAGCCUGAUGCAGCGACGCCGCGUGGGGGAUGAAGGCCUUCGGGUUGUAAACUCCUUUCGACAGGGACGAAGCUUUUGUGACGGUACCUGUAUAAGAAGCACCGGCUAACUACGUGCCAGCAGCCGCGGUAAUACGUAGGGUGCGAGCGUUGUCCGGAAUUACUGGGCGUAAAGAGCUCGUAGGUGGUUUGUCGCGUCGUCUGUGAAAUUCCGGGGCUUAACUCCGGGCGUGCAGGCGAUACGGGCUGACUUGAGUGCUGUAGGGGAGACUGGAAUUCCUGGUGUAGCGGUGAAAUGCGCAGAUAUCAGGAGGAACACCGAUGGCGAAGGCAGGUCUCUGGGCAGUAACUGACGCUGAGGAACGAAAGCAUGGGUAGCGAACAGG